rnacentral:rRNA from 1 species
AGAGUUUGAUCAUGGCUCAGGAUGAACGCUAGCUACAGGCUUAACACAUGCAAGUCGAGGGGAAACGACAUCGAAAGCUUGCUUUUGAUGGGCGUCGACCGGCGCACGGGUGAGUAACGCGUAUCCAACCUGCCCACCACUUGGGGAUAACCUUGCGAAAGUAAGACUAAUACCCAAUGAUAUCUCUAGAAGACAUCUGAAAAGAGAUUAAAGAUUUAUCGGUGAUGGAUGGGGAUGCGUCUGAUUAGCUUGUUGGCGGGGUAACGGCCACCAAGGCUACGAGUCAGUAGGGGUUCUGACGAGGAAGGUCCCCCACAUUGGAACUGAGACACGGUCCAAACUCCUACGGGAGGCA